rnacentral:rRNA from 1 species
AAUCAACGCUGGCGGCGUGCCUCAGACAUGCAAGUCGAACGAUUAAGACUCCCUUCGGGGAGUGUAUAAAGUGGCGCACGGGUGAGUAACACGUAAGUAAUCUGCCUUCGAGUGGGGAAUAACCCGGGGAAGCCCGAGCUAAUACCGCAUAACGCAGCGGCAUCGCCAGAUGACAGUUGUUAAAGGAGCAAUCCGCUUGAAGAGGAGCUUGCGGCAGAUUAGCUAGUUGGUAAGGUAACGGCUUACCAAGGCUACGAUCUGUAUCCGGUCUAAGAGGACGGUCGGACACACUGACACUGAAUAACGGGUCAGACUCCUACGGGAGGCAGCAGUCGGGAAUUUUGGGCAAUGGGCGAAAGCCUGACCCAGCAACGCCGCGUGAGGGAUGAAGUAUUUCGGUAUGUAAACCUCGAAAGAAUGGGAAGAAUAAAUGACGGUACCAUUUAUAAGCCCCGGCUAACUACGUGCCAGCCGCCGCUGUAAGAC